rnacentral:rRNA from 1 species
GUGGGGAAUAUUGGACAAUGGGCGAAAGCCUGAUCCAGCCAUGCCGCGUGUGUGAAGAAGGUCUUCGGAUUGUAAAGCACUUUAAGUUGGGAGGAAGGGCAGUAAGUUAAUACCUUGCUGUUUUGACGUUACCGACAGAAUAAGCACCGGCUAACUUCGUGCCAGCAGCCGCGGUAAUACGAAGGGUGCAAGCGUUAAUCGGAAUUACUGGGCGUAAAGCGCGCGUAGGUGGUUUUGUAAGUUGGAGGUGAAAUCCCCGGGCUCAACCUGGGAACUGCCUCCAAAACUGCAUGACUAGAGUACGGUAGAGGGUAGUGGAAUUUCCAGUGUAGCGGUGAAAUGCGUAGAUAUAGGAAGGAACACCAGUUGCGAAGGCGACUACCUGGACUGAUACUGACACUGAGGUGCGAAAGCGUGGGGAGCAAACAGGAUUAGAAACCCGAGUAGUCC